rnacentral:rRNA from 1 species
GACGUAGGGCGCGAGCGUUGUCCGGAUUUAUUGGGCGUAAAGAGCGUGUAGGUGGCUUACCAAGUCGAUUGUGAAAGCCCUCGGCUCAACCGGGGAAGUGCAGUCGAAACUGGUAGGCUCGAGAGCGGUAGAGGAAGGUGGAAUUCCUAGUGUAGAGGUGAAAUUCGUAGAUAUUAGGAGGAAUACCUGUGGCGAAGGCGGCCUUCUGGGCCGUUUCUGACACUGAGACGCGAAAGCGUGGGUAGCAAACAGG